GAUUUAGUUAUCUUAUCUUUAAUCCAAUUCAAGGAAAAACCGUCUGACUCAUCCGAGGUUUAAUGACCGAAGCUUACAAGCGAUGUAAAAUUCGAAUCGCAAGUUGAAGUUUACGAAUGAAGCGUGGCAAAUCACUCAACAAUAUGCCCGUAACAUGUAAUCAUUUAAUGAUGUUUCCUAUCAAAUAUUUUAUUCGUAGCUAAACAGUUCAAAAACGAGUACGAAAAUGUAUGAGAGAUGAAAGUAAGGGGCGGCUAUCAGAGACGGCGUAAGGUGUGGACCACCGUUUUAUUAAUGAAAUUAUGAAAUUAAUUAAUUAUAAAAUUAUCAUAUUUGUCGUUUAUAUCAUUCGUUUUUAUUUAGUCUGGCAACAUUACUUAGCGUCAAGCUACUAUCGCGGGGAAUCCCCGGUAAGAAACCUCGGGACUUUCCCUUACUAGGGAUGCAGAUGCAGUCUCGCUUCACGUUCCUGUAUUAUAAUUUCUCAACAAGUAUUUGAUGUCAGAAUAAAUGAUGUUACAUAGAUUUAAAACGAUAACACGAAUCCAAUAAAUAAGUUGAAAUUUGAAUUGUGUCGCGAAGAAAAAUAAUAACACCUGUGAUUAUCUUAUUUAUCAAGAAACAGGUUACGGAUACAAUAUUGGUGCAUUCAUCAAUCAUGUCAGGCUUAGACACCAAGAGAGAUAGAGAUAAAGACAGAAAAUGGGAAUCUGGUUCACCAAAAAGAAAAAGAAAUUUUUUGGUUUCUUUAAUUGAAGUGAAGUGAGUAAAUUGGCGCAAUGUCAGUGACUUGGACAGGGGUUAUAAUACGGUGAUCGAGACAUGAUGUUUCUUUGUUACUUUUGAGUCGGAUUUUUGUUUUGUUUUCAAUGUUGUGUAAUGUUCCAAAAACGUACAUGAGUAAAAGUUUGGCAAGUGUUUCUUAAUGAAUGAAUGAUUAUUUAA